CACUACAGCAUGGGUCACGGGGCGGAGGUCACGCUACACAUGGCCACAAAGACACGGCCGGGACCUGUCUGCGGCGGCUCCAUGUUAUGUACACAGAGUACAUUACACCGGCUCUGUUUGCACCCACUUACACACGUUGCUACUCACGGCCGCGGGCAGGACACUGGUUUAGGAGUCGAAAGGUUUCGAGACAAGAGAAAAAAAAGCAUAGCAAUAAGCAAGCCUUCUUGUCUAAUAAACAUGGACAAACAACGCAUUGUAUAUAAGGUAAAAGAAUCAGUCAAUAAAUGAGUAAUCAAAUAAAUAAAUAAGCACACACACACACACACACACACACACACACAGGCCACCGGUAAUGAUAGAGCCGCCGACAGCAUCCUGAGAGUUGUUGGAUCCAGGUAGAAUCGCCCCUAUAGUCUUUGCCCAAUGAUUCGCUCGUCAUCUUAACCAUGUAAUAUGAGUGUAGUCAGUAAUAUAGGCAGACUUUACCGGUCAGUAGCAUUGUUUACUGUUUAAAUAAGAUAUGACAAGUUCACGCUUCGAAUUCUGCUCAGUUCUGCGAUUUCAUAGCUGCUCACUUUUUUUUUUAAAUGUAGUUACCGACAUGUCUCACGCGUGACCCGUCCCCAAACUCCGCACUCGGUACCGAUUGAAUACCUAUGUGUGCUAUAAAAAUGCUCACAUCCUAUUCCACGUAAUGCUGUAAUAAAACAAAUUUCGUAUAUUAUUGUAAUCCCCUAUGCCAUCAUAUUUAAAUAGCAGUCGGAUGAAUGAUCAUUUUUUUAUUCAUGAUUCUUCGUCAUAUUAUUCGACAAAUAUGAAUAUUUUGCCCAAGUGUUCGAAUACGAGUGAUAAUACCUUUAUUUCUAAUAACGAAACUCCAAAUCCGAACAAACCUAAAUAAAGUGUUCAGAUGUGAAAUCGAUAACCAAACAACGACAAUAAAGAUGUAAUAUUCAUCACAAAGGCAAAUUAUGUAUCGUGCCAAAGCAAUGUAACCCAGAGAGGAGUGGAGGUGGAAAGGGCAAGUCCCGGUGGGCGGGGCAUAGCGUCAGGAGGAAGGGCGGAGACGGGGGGCGCCUGCUGACCAAGCGAUCCUCCUGUAUAUAAGCCACCUACCACACCAUGCCAGUCAUCUUCUCUGCCCAGAUUCCCAGUCGCAGAGAAUCUGGACAGAAAAGAUGCAAUAAUAGUCUCAUAUCCUCCCCUCACUUGGAAGCAAGCGUGUGCCUGUACCUGGUGGGGAAGCAGUUAAAUUGAUCGGGGAAUGAUACGAUGUCCUUAGAUAUGGACGCUUAACUUCGAUUGGGAUUUUUGGAAAGUGUCACGUAAUCUCUCGACAGUAGUGGUGCCCCGUGAUGCUACUCGACCCACCAGCCACGUCCCCGUUGUCUGGUGCGAAGAGCGUAUAUAGGCAGGACAAGGGCAGCAAAUUUAAGCAGCUGAGUGGUAGCGUGCUGGCGUCACGUUUGGGAGAUCCAGGAGGGACGUCGGUUCGUAUCCUGGCCAGUACACAGCUGGGAUUUUUCAGUCACCGCUGAGUGACCUAAGACUACCCACAUGCUGCCCUGAAGACCACCUAUCAAACUGGACUCCAGAUAAUCUCUCCAAGGAGAGGCUCAAAGAUGAGCUCCGGGGGGCAGUAUGAGCCAAUGCAAGAUGGUGCCACUAUAAACACUCGCCUGCGCCACAACGGGCUGGGCCGACCAUCAGGACCCACCAGUGAGGAAGCCUAACAGCACAAUAGGCUGCAAUGUAAAAAAAUAAAAAAUAAAAAAAUAAAAAUAAAAUAAAAUCCCUUGCCCUCUCCCUUCCACAUGAUCAGAUUAUUUUUAUCAUUAUUAUUAUUAGUAGUAUUGGUAUUAGUAUUACUAUAGUAAUUAUAUGGUAGUAGUAGCAGUCAAAGUAGUAUUAGUAGUACUGUAAGAUUUUUUUAAUAUAUUACACCUUGAAAAAUAGAUCAUUUUUUCUUUUAAGGUGCAAAAAUCAGUACAAAAUUACGAUAUAAUAAUUUAUUGUACUAGUAGCUGUGGUACUGAAUCAUUUUCAGGCACAGUACGGAAUUACAGGUAGCAAUUAAUCUACGGUUUACAUUAUGAAAAAAAUUACCUUAUUGUACCAUACUAGAUGCUCUGUCGUGUUGCUGUAUGGCAGUAUAUUUGACCCUUGUGAAUUUGAGAUAACGUCUUUAGUCUUGAUUGAGCCGCCAUGGAAGCUGCACCAAGCACCUCUCAAGAAAAAAAUAGAAAGCACAUUGACAAGUUGAAAGGGAAGGACGGAAUAGAAAGUGAAGAUUAUUCCGAGUUCAAUGACAGCAGUGAUAACACAUUGUGAGUAAUGACAGCAGUAGUGAGAGUGAUGUGCCGUAGAGAGAUUAUGUCACUUCACCAUCUGCACUGCACUCUCUUACCCCAGCAAGGACUUCCAUCGCAGAUCCAGGUAAGAAGGGUGUGUCAGGUGUGUGUCUGGGGUGGUCAUACUAUUCUCAUCCUCCCCAUUUCUCACCACAACUCCUUUCCUCCCAAAAUUCUUUAUCAUUAUACACUUUUCACCUAAUACCUCACUACAUCACCCUUCCUCAUCUUCUUAUGAUCAUAAUUCACCAACUUUUCCUACUUCUUGAUCUUACCCUUCCUGUUCCAAUCCAAGUCAUAAUUCAUCUCUUCUACUGUCGCACUUCCUGCCUUCAUCCCCUCAUCAUUCACCCUUAUCGACACUGCCUGAGCUUUUGUCUUACAAUCCCUU